UUUGGGGCUUUAUCUGCGGGGACAACAACAUAUUUGUCAUGGAGGUAGGAUAGGUGUUUUGCAACAUUUGGGUCUUUAAAGAUUGACGUAGCAUGGGCAUUGAUAGACCCAUUUAGUUUCUUAAUUCUGAUUUGUAUCAACGACCUCACUGCCUUAAUCCAUUCGGAAAGAGUGUCUACGUCUUCCUUCUCGCGCUUAGCCCAUUGCCUGGCAUAAU
rnacentral:lncRNA from 1 species